rnacentral:rRNA from 1 species
UACGUAGGCAGCGAGCGUUGUUCGGAGUUACUGGGCGUAAAGGGUGUGUAGGCGGUUGUUUAAGUUUGGUGUGAAAUCUCCCGGCUCAACUGGGAGGUGCGCCGAAUACUGAAUGACUUCGAGUGCGGGAGAGGAAAGUGGGAAUUCCUGGUGUAGCGGUGAAAUGACGUAGAUAUCAGGAGGAACACCGGUGGUGUAGACGGCUUUCUGGACCGUAACUGACGCUGAGACACGAAAGCGUGGGUAGCAAACAGG